GAGGAUAUAGUUCAGUGGUAGAGCACAAGGUCCUGGGUUCAAUCCCCAGUACCUCCA
rnacentral:tRNA from 1 species